AGCAGCAGCAGCAGGAGCCAGCUGCUCCUCCAGAGUCUCGUGUCAGCGAUGAAACAGACAGCAGCUCACUCCCACCAGAGUCUGAAAGGAUGUACAGCUGCACUUAUGACUUCAUAGCCAGGAACAGUAGUGAACUCUCAGUGCAGCAGGGGGAGACACUCGAGGUGGUUGAAUCGUCCAAGCGCUGGUGGAAGUGUCGUAAUCGUUUCAACCAGAUUGGAUUUGUUCCCUUCAACAUCCUGGAUCCCUUGACUCACAUAGACAGCCCCGUCACGCACACACCCCCUCGUGUAAGACACAAAAACACACAUGCACACACACAUG